CCAGACUCCUACGGGAGGCAGCAGUGAGGAAUAUUGGUCAAUGGUCGGGAGACUGAACCAGCCAAGCCGCGUGAGGGAUGAAGGUACAGAGUAUCGUAAACCUCUUUUGUCAGGGAACAAAGGCGGGGACGUGUCCCCGGAUGAGUGUACCUGAAGAAAAAGCAUCGGCUAACUCCGUGCCAGCAGCCGCGGUAAUACGGAGGAUGCGAGCGUUAUCCGGAUUUACUGGGUGUAAAGGGAGCGUAGACGGCGAAGAAAGUCUGAAGUGAAAGCCCGCGGCUCAACCGCGGAAUGGCUUUGGAAACUUUUUUGCUGGAGUACCGGAGAGGUAAGCGGAAUUCCUAGUGUAGCGGUGAAAUGCGUAGAUAUUAGGAGGAACACCAGUGGCGAAGGCGGCUUACUGGACGGUAACUGACGUUGAGGCUCGAAAGCGUGGGGAGCAAACAGGAUUAGAUACCCCGGUA
rnacentral:rRNA from 1 species